ACGGGGCGCAGCAGUAGGGAAUUUUCGGCAAUGGGGGAAACCCUGACCGAACAACGCCGCGUGAGUGAAGAAGGUCUUCGGAUUGUAAAACUCUGUUGUAAGGGAAGAACGGUACGGAAAGGAUCCGUAAGUGACGGUACCUUACCAGAAAGCCACGGCUAACUACGUGCCAGCAGCCGCGGUAAUACGUAGGUGGCGAGCGUUAUCCGGAAUUAUUGGGCGUAAAGGGUGCGUAGGCGGUCUGUUAAGUUCGUGGUUAAAGCGUGGGGCUCAACCCCAUAAAGCCACGGAUACUGGCAGACUAGAGUACUGGAAAGGGCAGUGGAAUUCCAUGUGUAGCGGUAAAAUGCGUAGAUAUAUGGAGGAACACCGGUGGCGAAGGCGGCUGCCUGGACAGAGACUGACGCUGAGGCACGAAAGCGUGGGGAGCAAAUAGGAUUAGAUACCCUAGUAGUCCACGCCGUAAACGAUGGAUACUAAAUAUUGGGGCAACUCAGUGCUGCAGUUAACGCAAUAAGUAUCCCGCCUGUGGAGUAUGCACGCAAGUGUGAAACAUAAAGGAAUUGGCGGGGGAGCACA
rnacentral:rRNA from 1 species